CGGGGAUCAGCACAUAUGACUUGAUCCGCAGAUUUCCGAAUGGGGCAACCCGGCUAUAUGAAGUAUAGUCACACCGCAAGGUGAGCAAACCCGGAGAACUGAAACAUCUAAGUACCCGGAGGAAGAGAAAGAAAAAUCGAUUCCCUGAGUAGCGGCGAGCGAAACGGGAACAGCCCAAACCAGGAGGCGUGCCUCUUGGGGUUGUAGGACACUCAGCACGGAGUUACAAAAUCAACGGCUAGGCGAAGCGACCUGGAACGGUCCGCCGCAGCGGGUAACAGCCCCGUAGCCGAAAAUCCGUUCUCUCCCGAGUGGAUCCUGAGUACGGCGGAACACGAGGAAUUCCGUCGGAAUCUGGGAGGACCAUCUCCCAAGGCUAA
rnacentral:rRNA from 1 species